rnacentral:snRNA from 1 species
AUGCUCACUUUGGCAGCACAUAUAUUAAAAUUGGGACAAUACAGAGAAGAUUAGCAUGGCUCCUGUGCAAGGAUGACACACAAAUUUGUGAAACGUUCCAUAUUUUU